GGAGCAGACUUGUUCUGUGACUGCGUACCUUUUGUAUAAUGGGUCAGCGACUUACUUCUCAGUAGCAAGGUUAACCAUUAGGGGAGCCGUAGGGAAACCGAGUCUUAAAUGGGCGAUUAGUUGCUGGGAGUAGACCCGAAACCGGGUGAUCUAUCCAUGGCCAGGGUGAAGGUUAGGUAAAACUAACUGGAGGCCCGAACCCACUUAUGUUGAAAAAUGAGGGGAUGAGCUGUGGAUAGGGGUGAAAGGCCAAACAAACCCGGAGAUAGCUGGUUCUCUCCGAAAUCUAUUUAGGUAGAGCGUCAUGUAUUACUUCUGGGGGUAGAGCACUGUUAUGGCUAGCGGGUCGUCAAGACUUAGCAAACCAUUGCAAACUCCGAAUACCAGAAAGUAUGAGCAUGGCAGACACACUGCGGGUGCUAACGUCCGUAGUGGAAAGGGAAACAACCCAGACCGUCAGCUAAGGUCCCAAAAUUAUAGUUAAGUGGGAAACGAUGUGAAAAGGCCCAGACAGCCAGGAGGUUGGCUUAGAAGCAGCCAUUCCUUUAAAGAGUGCGUAAUAGCUCACUGGUCGAGUCGGUUUGCGCGGAAGAUUUAACGGGGCUAAACUAUAUACCGAAGCUGCGGAUCGCAAUUUAUUGCGAUGGUAGGAGAGCGUUCUGUAAGCCGUUGAAGGUGAACUGAGAGGUUUGCUGGAGGUAUCAGAAGUGCGAAUGCUGACAUGAGUAACGAUAAAGGGGGUGAAAAACCCCCUCGCCAGAAGUCCAAGGUUUCCUACGCAACGUUAAUCGGCGUAGGGUUAGUCGGCCCCUAAGGCGAGGCAGAAAUGCGUAGUCGAUGGGAAACGGGUUAAUAUUCCCGUACUUCAUAUAACUGCGAUGGGAAGACGGAGUAGGUUAGCUCAGCAAGGCGAUGGUUGUCCUUGUUCAAGCGUGUAGAAAUGGUUCUUAGGAAAAUCCGGGAACCUCUAUUUCAAGGCGUGAUAACGAUCCCUCUUUUGGGAGAAGUGAGUAAUACCAUGCUUCCAGGAAAAUCCUCUAAGCUUCAGGUUAUAUGAAACCGUACCCCAAACCGACACAGGUGGACGAGAUGAGAAUUCUAAGGCGCUUGAGAGAACUCGGGUGAAGGAACUAGGCAAAAUGACACCGUAACUUCGGGAGAAGGUGUGCUCUUUGUAUGUGAAAUCACUCGCUGAUGGAGCGGAAGAGAGUUGAAAAUACUAGGUGGCUGCGACUGUUUAUUAAAAACACAGCACUCUGCAAACACGUAAGUGGACGUAUAGGGUGUGACGCCUGCCCGGUGCUUGAAGGUUAAUUGAUGAGGUUAGCGCUUGCGCGAAGCUUUUGAUCGAAGCCCAAGUAAACGGCGGCCGUAACUAUAACGGUCCUAAGGUAGCGAAAUUCCUUGUCGGGUAAGUUCCGACCUGCACGAAUGGCGUAACGACGGCCACACUGUCUCCACCCGAGACUCAGUGAAAUUGAAAUUGCUGUUAAGAUGCAGUAUACCCGCGGCCAGACGGAAAGACCCCGUGCACCUUUACUACAGCUUUACAUUGAACUCUGAUCCUACUUGUGUAGGAUAGGUGGGAGGCUUUGAAGUUCUAACGCUAGUUAGAGUGGAGCCGUCCUUGAAAUACCACCCUGGUAUGGUUGGGGUUCUAACCUAGGUCCGUAAUCCGGAUCGGGGACAAUGUAUGGUGGGUAGUUUGACUGGGGCGGUCUCCUCCUAAAGAGUAACGGAGGAGCGCAAAGGUAUCCUCAGCACGGUCGGACAUCGUGCAAUGAGCGCAAAGGUAAAAGGAUGCUUGACUGCGAGACAUACACGUCGAGCAGGUAGGAAACUAGGUCUUAGUGAUCCGGUGGUUCUGAGUGGAAGGACCAUCGCUCAACGGAUAAAAGGUACGCCGGGGAUAACAGGCUGAUACCCCCCAAGAGUUCACAUCGACGGGGGUGUUUGGCACCUCGAUGUCGGCUCAUCACAUCCUGGGGCUGAAGCAGGUCCCAAGGGUAUGGCUGUUCGCCAUUUAAAGUGGUACGCGAGCUGGGUUUAGAACGUCGUGAGACAGUUCGGUCCCUAUCUACCGUGGGCGUUGGAGACUUGAGGGUAGCUGUUCUUAGUACGAGAGGACCGGAACGGA
rnacentral:rRNA from 1 species